rnacentral:rRNA from 1 species
UGGUGGGUAGUUUGACUGGGGCGGUCUCCUCCUAAAGAGUAACGGAGGAGCACGAAGGUUGGCUAAUCCUGGUCGGACAUCAGGAGGUUAGUGCAAUGGCAUAAGCCAGCUUGACUGCGAGCGUGACGGCGCGAGCAGGUGCGAAAGCAGGUCAUAGUGAUCCGGUGGUUCUGAAUGGAAGGGCCAUCGCUCAACGGAUAAAAGGUACUCCGGGGAUAACAGGCUGAUACCGCCCAAGAGUUCAUAUCGACGGCGGUGUUUGGCACCUCGAUGUCGGCUCAUCACAUCCUGGGGCUGAAGUAGGUCCCAAGGGUAUGGCUGUUCGCCAUUUAAAGUGGUACGCGAGCUGGGUUUAGAACGUCGUGAGACAGUUCGGUCCCUAUCUGCCGUGGGCGCUGGAGAACUGAGGGGGGCUGCUCCUAGUACGAGAGGACCGGAGUGGACGCAUCACUGGUGUUCGGGUUGUCAUGCCAAUGGCACUGCCCGGUAGCUAAAUGCGGAAGAGAUAAGUGCUGAAAGCAUCUAAGCACGAAACUUGCCCCGGGAUGAGUUCUCCCUGAGACUUAGAGUCUCCUGAAGGAACGUUGAAGACGACGACGUUGAUAGGC